CUUGGUCAUUUAGAGGAAGUAAAAGUCGUAACAAGGUUUCCGUAGGUGAACCUGCGGAAGGAUCAUUAUCAAAAGUCAAGUCGGGGGCUGUAAAGCUCUCGUCUACACCCAUGUCUUUUGCGUACUCUUGUUUCCUCGGUGGCGCAAGCUGCCGAUUGGACAAACCAAAACCUUUUUUGUAAUUGCAAUCAGCGUCUGAAAAUAAUCUAAUUAUUUACAACUUUCAACAACGGAUCUCUUGGUUCUGGCAUCGAUGAAGAACGCAGCGAAAUGCGAUAAGUAGUGUGAAUUGCGGAAUUCAGUGAAUCAUCGAAUCUUUGAACGCACAUUGCGCCCUUUGGUAUUCCAAAGGGCAUGCCUGUUCGAGCGUCAUUUGUACCCUCAAGCUUUGCUUGGUGUUGGGCGUCUUGUCUCUAGCUUUGCUGGAGACUCGCCUUAAAGUAAUUGGCAGCCGGCCUACUGGUUUCGGAGCGCAGCACAAGUCGCACUCUCUAUCAGCAAAGGUCUAGCAUCCAUUAAGCCUUUUUUUCAACUUUUGACCUCGGAUCAGGUAGGGAUACCCGCUGAACUUAAGCAUAUCAAUAAGCGGAGGA
rnacentral:rRNA from 1 species